GACGAACGCUGGCGGCGUGGAUUAGGCAUGCAAGUCGAACGGUAGGAUACCUUCGGGUAUCUGAGAGUGGCGAACGGGUGAGUAACACGUAGGUGAUCUACCCUCAAGAUUGGGACAACCCAAGGAAACUUGGGCUAAUACCGGAUGAAAGCAGCAGUGAUGUUGUUUGAAAGGUGGCGUAAGCUGCCGUUUGGGGAUGAGCCUGCGCUCUAUUAGUUAGUUGGCGGGGUAAAGGCCCACCAAGGCGAUGAUAGAUAGGCGGCCUUAACGGGUGGUCGCCCACACUGGGAUUGAGAUACGGCCCAGACUCCUACGGGAGGCAGCAGUCGAGAAUAGUCUACAAUGGCCGAAAGGCUGAUAGUGCGACGCCGCGUGAACGAAGAAGCCCUUCGGGGUGUAAAGUUCUUUUAUAUGUGAGCAGUGCUUUCUAUGUGAACAGCAUGGGGAGAGAGAUAUUAGCAUAUGAAUAAGCAACGGCUAACUCCGUGCCAGCACG
rnacentral:rRNA from 1 species